ACGAACGCUGGCGGCGUGCCUAAUACAUGCAAGUCGAACGAACCGCGACUAAGUGCUUGCACUAAGUCAAGGUGAGUGGCGAACGGGUGAGUAACACGUGGGUAACCUACCUCAUAGUGGGGGAUAACAGUCGGAAACGACUGCUAAUACCGCAUAGGACAUAGGAUCACAUGAUCCAGUGAGGAAAGGUGGCGCAAGCUAACGCUAAGAGAUGGACCCGCGGUGCAUUAGCUAGUUGGUAGGGUAAAGGCCUACCAAGGCGAUGAUGCAUAGCCGACCUGAGAGGGUGAUCGGCCACAUUGGGACUGAGACACGGCCCAAACUCCUACGGGAGGCAGCAGUAGGGAAUCUUCCGCAAUGGACGCAAGUCUGACGGAGCAACGCCGCGUGAGUGAAGAAGGUCUUCGGAUCGUAAAGCUCUGUUGUUAGAGAAGAACAGCGCAUAGAGUAACUGCUAUGCGUGUGACGGUAUCUAACCAGAAAGCCACGGCUAACUACGUG
rnacentral:rRNA from 1 species